rnacentral:ncRNA from 2 species
AAAUCUUAUCGCAAUCUAAGUAUAAACAAUUGUUAUGAGAAAGAAAACUCAAAAGAUAAGAGGUUGUACUAAGUACUGAUAAUAUUUA